rnacentral:lncRNA from 1 species
CACCUUUCAGCACUCAAAGAGAUAGCAAUACUGUUAAUGUUUUCAUAUUGAUUACAAGUACAAUAAUGAUAUACUGGCUGGAUAUUAAAGCUCAGACCACCCUGCACACAGAAUGCUGAAGUAGAGCUCUUCACAAUAGUAACAGUAAACCACCAGCAGCAUAUACAGAUACUCCCUCAGGUGCUCAUAUGUAUCAUUUGUGUCGCAUGCAGCGAGGGGAAGCUGUGUGUGUGUGUGUGUGUGUGUGUGUGUGUGUGUGUGUGUGUGUGUGUGUGUGUGCUGGUGCAUCUUAGGGCAUUGUGGGACACAGAUCUCCUGUAAAUGUAACAUAUCAAAGCGAAGCUGUAUUAUUUUUAUCACAUUUCAUCUCUCAGAUAUUGAGUUUCAUCCCCUGCUUCAUCUGUCACAUUUGGGCUGGGAACGGACGGGUGUAUAAAUCUUAUAACUCCCUCCGCCUCUUGUGGGCACACACUGUGUCAGAGGGAGGGAGGCCCAUCACUGAGCCCACUGAGGAACCCCCCCCAGACGUGCGAUCCUUUUGAUGAAAAACAAAGAGCUGAAGGUGCAGUGGGAGCCUUCAGCAGCAGCAGCAGCUAUAGUUUCCUGUGAAAAGGUAAGAGAGGUGGGUGUGCUUACUCCCCUCAGACGGCUCAGGCCCCUGGACCAGACAGCGAGGGUGGUCAAGCUGCAGCCUGCUGUAGCCGCGCUUUGUCUCCACAAAGAAAAGGAAGUCUUAGAUAAGAGCUGUGGCUCCCUCUGCUGAUCUCAGACAACCACCUAAUUAAAAGACUGCUGAAUGAGCCUUCACAUUGGCCUGGAAGACAGCAGACAGAGACUAUUUCAUUUAAAGAUGUGGUGCUCUCGUUCUAAAAAUAGAUACUCGCUUCUCCUGGUGCACACAUAGCCACAGUUUUCAGAUGGCCUUAUGUACCCACUACAGGGGUACAAAGGAUGCUUCACUGAGUCAGAUGGAGACAAAUGGGCGAGCCUCAGGGCACAUCCUUCCUCAUGCAUCACAACCUGGAAAUGAGAUGUUAGACUUGUGGAUAUAAAUGUGCUAACCCUAACUCACCUGAAGAAGAUUCUGUGAUCAUAUGUGUUAACACUAUGUAUUUCCUGCUGUCAUGUGUGACUUUCUUCAGAUUGUGCUGCAAGUGAAACCUUUCUGUGCAAAAUAACACAGUUCAUCUGGUCAGACUGUGUCAUUCUAACAUCAAUAUACAUAGCACAGAUUAAAGAGUCAAUGUACAGGAAUUCAUAUAGGCAUAAAG